GACGAACGCUGGCGGCGUGCUUAACACAUGCAAGUCGAACGGAAAGGCCCUGCUUGCAGGGUACUCGAGUGGCGAACGGGUGAGUAACACGUGGGUGAUCUGCCCUGCACUUCGGGAUAAGCUUGGGAAACUGGGUCUAAUACCGGAUAGGAACCAUCUUUAGUGUGGUGGUUAGAAAGUUUUUUCGGUGUAGGAUGAGCUCGCGGCCUAUCAGCUUGUUGGUGGGGUAAUGGCCUACCAAGGCGGCGACGGGUAGCCGGCCUGAGAGGGUGUACGGCCACAUUGGGACUGAGAUACGGCCCAGACUCCUACGGGAGGCAGCAGUGGGGAAUAUUGCACAAUGGGCGCAAGCCUGAUGCAGCGACGCCGCGUGGGGGAUGAAGGCCUUCGGGUUGUAAACUCCUUUCGCUGGGGACGAAGCUUUUUGUGACGGUACCUAGAUAAGAAGCACCGGCUAACUACGUG
rnacentral:rRNA from 1 species